GCGUUCAGGACGGGAGCAGUGGUACACGUGUUUCAACGUGGGUCAAAAGAUAGGUUGUAAACACUGGCGCGGCAUGCGGACGUUGCGCUCGGUGCGCAUGCACGACUGGUCAAGUGGCCUCGCUGCGCAGGGCGUCCCCCCUCUUGACCGCAUGCACAACGAUCUACAGGCGGUUCACGCACGUGGUAGUCUUUUGACAGUGCCCGGGUGUGUAUAUAUAUAUAAGACGGCGUGCUUCCGUCUACGAGGGCCACACAAGCUUCAGCGACGUUUGGGAAUACGGACCCCUCCGAAGGUUUUCAACCGUGGUUUCUCACUCAACACUCGCCUGAAAGAUGAACAGGUCCCUGCUUGUCACAAUCGUCGUCUUGGCUGCCCUUUGCAGUUUGACCGCCGCCCAAUUUGGCUACUACGGUGGUUUUGGACGCGGCUUCGGAUACCGAGGAUACGGUGGUUACCGUGGCUUCGGCGGUUACGGAGGCUAUGGCGGAUACCGAGGCUUUGGCGGUUUCGGUGGCUAUAGAGGCUUCGGACGUGGAUAUGGCUUCUAUGGUUAAGAGACCGGCCGUGCUGAAAGUGGUCCCUGUGUGUGGAGAGGCAUGAUGCUGAUGAACAAUAUUUGUAGAUUUUUUUAGUGAAAUACAUGUUUCCCAAGAAGACGAGUGAUGUCAUUGGUUCUUAAGUAUAGAACGGAUUCAAUUUCGUUCGUGCAACAAGCACACAAGAUCUAAUACUAAACUAAAUCACUUGUACUGAUGAGUAGUUAAAUAUCCCAAAGUUUGCUGCAAAUUUAAUCGCGCUCCAUAAGAGAGUUAUAGAACUGCCUCUUCUCAACAAAGGGCAAUGAAAAUUACGCGCUGUAAGUAUUCUGGAUGUCUGAAAAGCAAUUUGAUAGCUUGCAAGUGCAAAAGCUAAUAAAAAAAGCCUGCAAGCACGACGAGUGGCAAACAUAAAUACUAGAUGAAGAAGAAGGAAAAAAGCCUACACAAUGUAACCAGGGAACGGCGGACAUACAUUUUAACGGUUGCUUACGCUACUUGGGACUACAAUUAUCGCAUGAACAAAACAAAGCAACAAAAAGGUCAGACCUUCGAUGUGAAUAUUACAGCUGACAAUGCAAGUUGUAUCGAAAUCAUGGAUACGGCGAAUGGCGACGGCGCCUUCCUUGCGCGCAGAAAUAUCUAAGGUCACGUGCGUCAUUGCGGCACCAUAACCACCUCGCAUUGGCACUUUGUGAAGCCAGAAAGAAGGAUUUUAAUAGGCCUGUCGUGAGGCUUGAAGCUCGUGAUUGCAUAGACACCUGUUCUCGAGUUAGAAAAACUGAACAGCCACGUAAAGGCGCCCUGGCUCAUGAAAACUCCUUGACGUCACAUGUUCCUGUCUUGCAACGGGCAUGAAAUUGAAAUGCGAACAUAAUGCCAGUGAUAUCGCACGAUGUCAAAUUACCCAUCACUCGUAUACCCACGCCGAAUAUUAGUGUACAAAUCCACAAAUGUGGUACCAGCGUAUAUAGGGCUUCAAGGAAAAAGUAUACAACGGAGAAAUUUGGUACAUGUGCGACAAUAAAAUCGGGAUACUCCCCCCCUCAAAUGCACAACUUUAAUUCUUAUAAUUUCAAGACAAUGAACCUUUUUGUUUCCCAUGGCUGUACAGCAGAAGCAAAAUCAGAAGCCAGUUCCUUUUUCUUCUUUUUUUCUUGCACCUUACACUUGGAACAUUGAUAAGGCUAAUAAAAUGUCCUUGCUUACAUGAUUGAAUUUUCAUGGGCUGCUAGGAAGGCUGAGCUAGUCUGCAACGCUAUUCUCUAGAUGUUUCUUAUAUUGCUCGGAAGAACAUUUCAGCACACAAAUACAAUGACGCAUGAAUUUUUAAAUAAUGUAUCAGUCUAUCUGAGCAUACUGUAUGUAGACCUCACCGACUGCUCGAACAUAGCGCUUACACUCUAAAAUAAACCGCCGUCGUAUCAUCA